CCUUAACCUGCUAAAUAGACUGGCUAACCUUUCGGUUGGUCAAGUCUUCUUAGAGGGACUAUCUGUGUUUAACAGAUGGAAGUUUGAGGCAAUAACAGGUCUGUGAUGCCCUUAGAUGUUCUGGGCCGCACGCGCGCUACACUGAUAAAGGCAGCGAGUUACACCUUGACCGGAAGGUCUGGGUAAUCUUCUGAAACUUUAUCGUGAUGGGGAUAGAGCAUUGCAAUUAUUGCUCUUGAACGAGGAAUUCCUAGUAAGCGCGAGUCAUCAGCUCGCGUUGAUUACGUCCCUGCCCUUUGUACACACCGCCCGUCGAUACUACCGAUUGAAUGGCUUAGUGAGACCUUUGGACGAGGCUUCAUGGCCGCAAGGCUAACGGAGACUCGAAAAUUGGUCAAACUUGGUCAUUUAGAGGAAGUAAAAGUCG
rnacentral:rRNA from 1 species